rnacentral:rRNA from 1 species
GGUUAAGCGACUAAGCGUACACGGUGGAUGCCCUGGCAGUCAGAGGCGAUGAAGGACGUGCUAAUCUGCGAAAAGCGUCGGUAAGGUGAUAUGAACCGUUAUAACCGGCGAUGUCCGAAUGGGGAAACCCAGUGCAAUUCGUUGCACUAUCGUUAACUGAAUACAUAGGUUAACGAGGCGAACCGGGGGAACUGAAACAUCUAAGUACCCCGAGGAAAAGAAAUCAACCGAGAUUCCCCCAGUAGCGGCGAGCGAACGGGGAGCAGCCCAGAGUCUGAAUCAGCUUGUGUGUUAGUGGAACGGUCUGGAAAGUCCGACGGUACAGGGUGAUAGUCCCGUACACCAAAAUGCACAGGUUGUGAACUCGAAGAGUAGGGCGGGACACGUGGUAUCCUGUCUGAAUAUGGGGGGACCAUCCUCCAAGGCUAAAUACUCCUGACUGACCGAUAGUGAACCAGUACCGUGAGGGAAAGGCGAAAAGAACCCCGGCGAGGGGAGUGAAAAAGAACCUGAAACCGUGUACGUACAAGCAGUGGGAGCACCUUCGGGUGUGACUGCGUACCUUUUGUAUAAUGGGUCAGCGACUUAUAUUCUGUAGCAAGGUUAACCGUAUAGGGGAGCCGCAGGGAAACCGAGUCUUAACUGGGCGUUAAGUUGCAGGGUAUAGACCCGAAACCCGGUGAUCUAGCCAUGGGCAGGUUGAAGGUUGGGUAACACUAACUGGAGGACCGAACCGACUAAUGUUGAAAAAUUAGCGGAUGACUUGUGGCUGGGGGUGAAAGGCCAAUCAAACCGGGAGAUAGCUGGUUCUCCCCGAAAGCUAUUUAGGUAGCGCCUCGUGAACUCAUCUUCGGGGGUAGAGCACUGUUUCGGCUAGGGGGUCAUCCCGACUUACCAACCCGAUGCAAACUACGAAUACCGAAGAAUGUUAUCACGGGAGACACACGGCGGGUGCUAACGUCCGUCGUGAAGAGGGAAACAACCCAGACCGCCAGCUAAGGUCCCAAAGUCAUGGUUAAGUGGGAAACGAUGUGGGAAGGCACAGACAGCCAGGAUGUUGGCUUAGAAGCAGCCAUCAUUUAAAGAAAGCGUAAUAGCUCACUGGUCGAGUCGGCCUGCGCGGAAGAUGUAACGGGGCUAAACCAUGCACCGAAGCUGCGGCAGCGACACUAUGUGUUGUUGGGUAGGGGAGCGUUCUGUAAGCCUGCGAAGGUGGCCUGUGAGGGUUGCUGGAGGUAUCAGAAGUGCGAAUGCUGACAUAAGUAACGAUAAAGCGGGUGAAAAGCCCGCUCGCCGGAAGACCAAGGGUUCCUGUCCAACGUUAAUCGGGGCAGGGUGAGUCGACCCCUAAGGCGAGGCCGAAAGGCGUAGUCGAUGGGAAACAGGUUAAUAUUCCUGUACUUGGUGUUACUGCGAAGGGGGGACGGAGAAGGCUAUGUUAGCCGGGCGACGGUUGUCCCGGUUUAAGCAUGUAGGCUGGUUGUCCAGGCAAAUCCGGAUAAUCAAGGCUGAGGUGUGAUGACGAGGCACUACGGUGCUGAAGUAACAAAUGCCCUGCUUCCAGGAAAAGCCUCUAAGCAUCAGGUAACAUCAAAUCGUACCCCAAACCGACACAGGUGGUCAGGUAGAGAAUACCAAGGCGCUUGAGAGAACUCGGGUGAAGGAACUAGGCAAAAUGGUGCCGUAACUUCGGGAGAAGGCACGCUGGUGUGUAGGUGAAGCCCCUGCGGGUGGAGCUGAGACCAGUCGAAGAUACCAGCUGGCUGCAACUGUUUAUUAAAAACACAGCACUGUGCAAACACGAAAGUGGACGUAUACGGUGUGACGCCUGCCCGGUGCCGGAAGGUUAAUUGAUGGGGUUAUCCGUAAGGAGAAGCUCUUGAUCGAAGCCCCGGUAAACGGCGGCCGUAACUAUAACGGUCCUAAGGUAGCGAAAUUCCUUGUCGGGUAAGUUCCGACCUGCACGAAUGGCGUAAUGAUGGCCAGGCUGUCUCCACCCGAGACUCAGUGAAAUUGAACUCGCUGUGAAGAUGCAGUGUACCCGCGGCAAGACGGAAAGACCCCGUGAACCUUUACUAUAGCUUGACACUGAACAUUGAGCCUUGAUGUGUAGGAUAGGUGGGAGGCUUUGAAGCGUGGACGCCAGUCUGCGUGGAGCCAACCUUGAAAUACCACCCUUUAAUGUUUGAUGUUCUAACGUUGGCCCCUUAUCGGGGUUGCGGACAGUGUCUGGUGGGUAGUUUGACUGGGGCGGUCUCCUCCCAAAGCGUAACGGAGGAGCACGAAGGUUAGCUAAUCCUGGUCGGACAUCAGGAGGUUAGUGCAAUGGCAUAAGCUAGCUUGACUGCGAGCGUGACGGCGCGAGCAGGUGCGAAAGCAGGUCAUAGUGAUCCGGUGGUUCUGAAUGGAAGGGCCAUCGCUCAACGGAUAAAAGGUACUCCGGGGAUAACAGGCUGAUACCGCCCAAGAGUUCAUAUCGACGGCGGUGUUUGGCACCUCGAUGUCGGCUCAUCACAUCCUGGGGCUGAAGUAGGUCCCAAGGGUAUGGCUGUUCGCCAUUUAAAGUGGUACGCGAGCUGGGUUUAGAACGUCGUGAGACAGUUCGGUCCCUAUCUGCCGUGGGCGCUGGAGAAUUGAGGGGGGCUGCUCCUAGUACGAGAGGACCGGAGUGGACGCAUCACUGGUGUUCGGGUUGUCAUGCCAAUGGCACUGCCCGGUAGCUAAAUGCGGAAGAGAUAAGUGCUGAAAGCAUCUAAGCACGAAACUUGCCCCGAGAUGAGUUCUCCCUGAGACUUUAAGUCUCCUGAAGGAACGUUAAAGACGAUGACGUUGAUAGGCCGGGUGUGUAAGCGCAGCGAUGCGUUGAGCUAACCGGUACUAAUGAACCGUGAGGCUUAACCUU